rnacentral:sRNA from 1 species
UUCUUCUCCGUUCGAACAAACCAACCACAAAACAACCUUAAACUUCCACCAACGACGGAGUUAAGACCACCAUCGAACUCCUGGAGACUCCACGAUCACGUAGACACCAAUUUCAGGACAAUCCAAGCUCACAGUGAGCUUAGUGAGGUUCCAAGGAAGCUCGGAGUGCUUCGUUGGAAGUUUUUGGACGUAAGAACACGGAGAUCGAUAAGUUCAAAGUUUGGCCGGAGCUUUCGAGGCAUUUUCCGGCGAAUCCCCGGCGAGUUAGGCGUCGAGGUAGGUAUCAAUCUCUUCGUCUCGUCAAGUACUACAACUUUCCUUUUUGUUUCACUCAAUUUCGUUGAGUAUUGAAGAAGUUAUACUCAUUUGAAAAAUACCCAGUUUCCGGCGACCUCCGAGGCUUUCGAGGCAGUUUCCGGCCAAACUACGGCGAACUAGGUGUUGGGAAAGGCGGCGAUCGUCGUGACGCCUUGAUGUGUGGUGCUAGGGAGUUGUUGGACGAACUCCAGGUUCAGGAAUCACAAAGGUGUGGUGACUACGAGGAAUUCGACGGUGCGGCGAUCGUCGUGACGCCUUGAUGUGUGGUGCUAGGGAGUUGUUGGACGAACUCCAGGUGAGUGGGCAGUUUUGUUUUCCGUAUAUAUAUAUACUUGACGUUUCCCAGAAAUUGAAUUGAAAUGAAAAUAUGUUUAAAAUGAAAUGCAUAUGAGUUAUGUGGAAAAACGGGAAGUGAAAUACCAUGCAUAG